CACCCGAAGGAGCAACAUGCGGUACACAGAGUUUAAUUAACGUCUCUGCCUUAUGACACGAAACACCCGGAAGCAUUUUUCUGCGAGCCAGCUUUUUAAUUGCUCUGAUGACCGGUGGGCUGGUCCGUCUGCGGUGGGAGGCUCGGCUGAUAUCUAUUCAUUUGCCUCCGCGCAUCAAAGACCAGCUGGCAUUUAAUCCCGAAGGGAAUACAAAGCAGCAUCAUCGCAAGUCGUCUCGAGAUCAUGUCCCGAGGAGACACCGUCUCGUGCGAUCUGCCUGAAUUUCAACUAGACGUUGGAAGCUGAAAGUCGUUCGACGCGCUUCUGACGGCGCCGUUCUCGUCCCUCCGCAGUCUGCGGUGUCUGCCGCAAACGGAUCGCUUCAGAUAAUCCAGACUUUGGGAACAGUUUGUGCGACGGGCCCAUGGAAGAGAUGUGGGCAAUGAGAAGACUGCAUAUUUAAAGGAGAACGACCCGUCAGAAAGCGGGAGCAUCCUAUGGGUGUCGGAAAGCCGGGGGCGUAAAACUCAAAGUGCAUCUGGACGACUUCCGCCACUGUGACCCGCUUGCAGAUAGCACAGGGAGCAGCGGAUGUACCUG